ensembl:rRNA 5S_rRNA 5S ribosomal RNA
CUUGGCCGCCAUAUCACCCUGUAGCCCAAGACUGGUUGCCCACUGAAGCUAAGCAGGGUUGAGCCGGGUCAGUACCUGGAUGGGAGACCUCCUGGGAAAACUAGGUUGCUGCUGGAA